ACGCACGCUGGCGGCAGGCCUCACACAUGCCAGUCGAACGCCCCGCAAGGGGAGUGGCAGACGGGUGAGUAACACGUGGGAACCUUCCCUAUAGUACGGAAUAGCCCAGGGAAACUUGGAGUAAUACCGUAUACGCCCGAAAGGGGAAAGAAUUUCGCUAUAGGAUGGGCCCGCGUAGGAUUAGCUAGUUGGUGAGGUAAUGGCUCACCAAGGCGACGAUCCUUAGCUGGUUUGAGAGAACGACCAGCCACACUGGGACUGAGACACGGCCCAGACUCCUACGGGAGGCAGCAGUGGGGAAUAUUGGACAAUGGGCGCAAGCCUGAUCCAGCCAUGCCGCGUGAGUGAUGAAGGCCUUAGGGUUGUAAAGCUCUUUUGGCGGGGACGAUAAUGACGGUACCCGCAGAAUAAGACCCGGCUAACUUCGUG
rnacentral:rRNA from 1 species